UACGGAAGGGGCUAGCGUUGUUCGGAAUUACUGGGCGUAAAGCGCAUGCAGGCGGCCAGUCAAGUUAGGCGUGAAAGCCCCGGGCUCAACCUGGGAACUGCGCUUAAGACUGACUGGCUAGAGUCCGGGAGAGGGUGGUGGAAUUCCCAGUGUAGAGGUGAAAUUCGUAGAUAUUGGGAAGAACACCGGUGGCGAAGGCGGCCACCUGGCCCGGUACUGACGCUAAAGUGCGAAAGCGUGGGGAGCAAACAGG
rnacentral:rRNA from 1 species